GCUUCUAUGGCCAAGUUGGUAAGGCGCCACACUAGUAAUGUGGAGAUCANNNAGUUCGAAUCUGGUUGGAAGCA
rnacentral:tRNA from 1 species